rnacentral:lncRNA from 1 species
CAGGCAAAAGUGAAUUAGAUAAAAGAAAAGGCACCAGUGGUACCCAACAAAACUUACAACAGUCGUGGUAUAAGCCCGUUAGAGCACCACUGUGCAAAAUCCAAAACUUUAUCAACUAAACCAAAGAUUCUAUUCCAACUCCAAGCUCUAACCUUGAUUUCCACGAUUAAGUUGUCAACCUCCCACGUUUUUCCUUCGAAUCUAAUCUCAUUUCUUCUCUUCCAAAGAAGCCAGCAGCAGCUCAACCAGAUUGCAUUGAGUAGCUUCCUACCUUUCUUAUCUUGUCCGCACUCGCUGAAGCUUAACCAAUGUGCAGCAGCCGUGGAGGGGCGAGCCGUGCUGAUCCCAGUCCAUCUUUGUAUUUCGUCCCAGAGCUCUUGGGUCUUCGGGCACGAUAUGAACAGAUGAUUUGCGUCCUCCUCGUGACCUUGGCAUAAACAACACCGAAGAUCUU